rnacentral:ribozyme from 13 species
CAACCAAAAGAAAGAAAGCAGGCAGAAAGAAAAGGAAGCCAACCGCCAAAAAGCAACAACCACGAACUGGGUAAUUGACCAUCUUUUUUGUGUGAUUUGAUUUUUGUUUUUUGUUUUUUG